rnacentral:rRNA from 1 species
AUACGUAGGGAGCGAGCGUUGUCCGGAAUUACUGGGUGUAAAGGGAGCGUAGGCGGGAUGGCAAGUCAGAUGUGAAAACUAUGGGCUCAACCCAUAGACUGCAUUUGAAACUGUUGUUCUUGAGUGAAGUAGAGGUAAGCGGUAUUCCUGGUGUAGCGGUGAAAUGCGUAGAUAUCAGGAGGAACAUCGGUGGCGAAGGCGGCUUACUGGGCUUUUACUGACGCUGAGGCUCGAAAGCGUGGGGAGCAAACAGGAUUAGAUACCCUGGUAGUCCACGCUGUAAACGAUAAUUACUAGGUGUGGGGGGACUGACCCCUUCCGUGCCGCAGUUAACACAAUAAGUAAUCCACCUGGGGAGUACGGCCGCAAGGUUGAAACUCAAAUGAAUUGACGGGG